rnacentral:sRNA from 1 species
UUCGUAAAAAUCUUGUGAAAUUGCAGGCCACUGAUAAACUUUUGUUGUGUGACUGAAGCGGUGGAAAGUGCAACCCAAUUAUCGUGUUGCAUGGGCGUUGUUAAUUGGGCCGCCGGCCUUGUUUUGCUGGCGGCGUUAUCGGCGGCGGAUUAACUUCUGCCAGAAAUGUUUCCCUAGAAAACGUCUCCAACGUGGUCAACGAGUCGUGGUCAAAACGAAAGCAACGUCUUCGUAAGAGAGAACAAAUCGGCGAAAA